rfam:Brassica oleracea var. oleracea cultivar TO1000 chromosome C7, whole genome shotgun sequence
GUGACAGAAGAGAGUGAGCACACAUGGUGACUUUCUUGCAUAUUUUAAGAUCUCAUGCUUGAAGCUAUGUGUGCUCACUCUCUAUCUGUCAC